rnacentral:rRNA from 1 species
UGCGGAGGAUCAUUACCGAGUGUAGGGUUCCUAGCGAGCCCAACCUCCCACCCGUGUUUACUGUACCUUAGUUGCUUCGGCGGGCCCGCCAUUCGUGGCCGCCGGGGGCUCUCAGCCCCGGGCCCGCGCCCGCCGGAGACACCACGAACUCUGUCUGAUCUAGUGAAGUCUGAGUUGAUUGUAUCGCAAUCAGUUAAAACUUUCAACAAUGGAUCUCUUGGUUCCGGCAUCGAUGAAGAACGCAGCGAAAUGCGAUAACUAGUGUGAAUUGCAGAAUUCCGUGAAUCAUCGAGUCUUUGAACGCACAUUGCGCCCCCUGGUAUUCCGGGGGGCAUGCCUGUCCGAGCGUCAUUGCUGCCCAUCAAGCACGGCUUGUGUGUUGGGUCGUCGUCCCCUCUCCGGGGGGGACGGGCCCCAAAGGCAGCGGCGGCACCGCGUCCGAUCCUCGAGCGUAUGGGGCUUUGUCACCCGCUCUGUAGGCCCGGCCGGCGCUUGCCGAACGCAAAUCAAUCUUUUUCCAGGUUGACCUCGGAUCAGGUAGGGAUACCCGCUGAACUUAAGCAUAUCAAUA